CACUGCAGAGGCAACAAGCUCCACCUGGGCCCACUCAUCUCCUUACCACUCUCAGCUGCAGGAGAGCAAUGUUGUAAACCAUGAUUUCUGUCUCAACUAGAUUAGCUGGUAAGAACUUGGGGUAAUCCUGGAAGAAGCUGUACCUUAAGGACUGGAAAGCACAGGCACCAGGAAAAGUUCAGUUUCAAAGAGCAGAAGAGCCUGUAUCCAUUGUUUUGUAAUCAAGUAACGCAAUGCCUGGAUGGAAGGAUAUGGUGAUCUGCCACCAGCAAAAGAUGAAGACCACCUGACUUUCUCUGCUACUUCCAGAAUCUGACCCAAGUGUUGUCCUUCCCUUGGAGUACAACAGGAGAAGCAACAGGCUGAUUCUGCUAGUGAAAACAACGUGUUGCACUGGAUAUAUAUAUUGUGAAAGGCUGAAAAUCAGUACUCAAAUAUUGAAGAUAUUCUGAGUGCUGUAUUACAUACUUCAAGAUUAAACAGCAGAAAAAGGAUCAAAGCAAUGCCGAAUUCCUAUUCUUUGCAAGUGUAGACAGUGGUGUAUGGGAAGCACACUCCAAGCCUCUGAGAAGCAAGAUGUGUUUCAGACUAUCCUGAAGCUACAGGAACAGUUGACAAAAAAAAAUUUUCAGUUAUUCUGACUCUAUCAAAGUCCAAGGCUUCAGAAGGAAAUGACGAGGAUCUCUGCUCUGUUUGAGAUGGGAAUAAGGGAAUAAACAUAUUGUUCUGGUCCCCAAAGGUAAGUGGUGAAGCACAGUCCAUCCACACAAAAUAAAUAACACUAAAAUCAGAAUGGGUCAAUUCCUCCCCUUCCUCAAGGAUAUUACAAGUAAAAGACUAUCUUAAGCAUUUUUAAGAGGGACAAUGUUGUUUCUGACAGACUUCUCAACAUUCUUUAGAAGUUUCGGAAUGAUUAUCUGUUUCAACUGUUUGUUAUCUGUUUAUUUUAGGAGAAAUGAAGUAGUAAAUGUGGCGUAUUAUUAAAAAAGUAAAAAAUUCUUGAGAGGUAAAAUAAGACACAUUCUGUAAU